CAGGUUUACACUGUCACGCUGAUCGCCACAGCCCUGGAGAAUGUGGAUGAGACAGCAGUGGCAGGGAAAAGAUUGCAUGCACACAGUUACAUGGCGUGUCCAGAAAUCAUCUGCUGAAUGAUUGAAUACAUGUCUGAUGUCAGCCGGCUGAUCCACCGGGAAAACUUCAUGCAGCAUAAUCAAGAUGGAUGGCCCACCUGCACACUGAGCAUACUUUAUGACUCUGCAGCUGCCCUCAUACAUUAGGAAGGAGCAGGACUGGAGUGUUCGUGUGAGACUCGCCUCCUGGCUGCAGGCCAUUAUCACACCUCCCACAGCGCUCAGCAGCCAGAGAGGGAAACUGUGGUUCAGGGGAAGAGGAGUUUUCAAGUCUAAUAAGAUUGUAAAGUGGUCCCCAACCUCCUUUGUCUGAUGCACCCCCAAAGCCCUGUCAGAUGAACUCAAGUACG